rnacentral:rRNA from 1 species
ACACGACUACAUUAGAUACCCGUGUAGUCCCAGCCCUAAACGAUGCGCGUUAGGUGUAUCGGUGACCACGAGUCACCGAGGUGCCGAAAGGGAAACCGUGAAACGUGCCGCCUGGGAAGUACGGUCGCAAGGCCGAAACUUAAAGGAAUUGGCGGGGAGCACCACAACGGGUGGAGCCUGCGGUUUAAUUGGACUCAACGCCGGGAAGCUCACCGGAUAAGACAGCGGAAUGAUUGCCGGGCUGAAGACUCUGCAUGACUAGCUG